rnacentral:rRNA from 1 species
AGAGUUAAAAAGUAUGUGAAAUUGUUGAAAGGGAAACGAUUGAAGUCAGUCGUGCAGUCAUCAACUCAGCGGUAAAAUAGGUUUCAGAUGCAAAACAGCGAGCCUUAAAACCGCUGUUUUGUAUUUGAAGCCUAUUUUACCGCGUAUUUUGGUGUUUGCUGGUCAGCAUCAAUUUUGAUUGUCAUAAAAAGGUUGGGGGGAUGUAGCUUCUUCGGGAGUGUUAUAACCCUUAACGCAAUGUGACGAUUGAGAUUGAGGUUUGCAACGAAUACCUUUAGGGCAGUUCCACCUGAUCUCUUAUUGACGUCCAGAUAGCGACAGCUUGCUGACGUUGUUUGGAUUCGUUAAUGAAUAGGUUAGAGUGUGAAUUAAUUCGUUAAGGAUGCUGACGUAAUGGCUUUAAACGACC